GCACUGCUGAAGAGUUCCACAAUAGGACGAAACGACCUUCCAGUGC
rnacentral:hammerhead_ribozyme from 1 species